GUGGUUUUCUGGAGAGUCCAGACUGCAGACUGCAGACUCUGAGGUUGAAGAACUGCAGUUUGUCAAAGAUCAGCUGUGCUGCUCUGGUCUCAAUUCUGAAUUUAAACCCAUCCCACCUGAAAGAAUUGGACCUGAUGUUAAACAACCUUCAGUCUUCAGAUGUUAAGCAGCUCCAGGAUCUGGUCAAGAGUCCAAACUUUAAACUGCAGACUCUGAGGUGGGAGGGAAAAGCUCUUCCCUUUAUCAACUGAGCAAAAAAAAGGAGCAUCAUCAUCAUCAGCUGGUCUGCAGAGAUGUUUCUGGAGGUGGAGAGCAGAGUGAUGUACUUCAUCUUCUCAUUCUAACUUGGAGUGUUGGGAAGUCUUCUGCUUCUCUUCUCUCUCGUAUUUGGAGUUUCUCUUAACUUUGUCCACACGCUCUUGCUGUAGUUUUCUCCUCAUGUGUCCUGAAACUGUUUCUCUGAAUGAUCUGUGAUGGUGAUUCAUCAGAUUCAGACAUGAUGGUUUCCUGCAGAAGCUCAGAAGUCUUUUCUGGUGUUUCUUGGACUCCUGCACGUCUCUGAACCACAGAGUGGACCAGCAUUCUCUGAACAUCCUUCAGCUGGUCCAGAAAGCAGCAGCAUGGCUGCUGACCAAAGAAAGAAAACCUUCCAGCAGUUCUGGCCUCAGGAUUCUCCAUCUGGGAGCAUUUUGGUUCUUCUUUUUCAUCUUUAUCAGACCUUUCAGAACCACAAAGUGGACUGAGUUCCUCUGAUUACAGUGUUAGUAAUGGCCUGGGACAAAGCUAAAAUAAGUA